CCCCCCCUCCAUUCACAGCAACAACUUCGGUUGAGAACUUUAGCUACUCAAAUUGCUUCCAAUGGCUGGGUUUCGGUGUGGAGGAUACUGUUUC